UACGUAGGGUGCGAGCGUUGUCCGGAAUUAUUGGGCGUAAAGAGCUUGUAGGUGGUUUGUCGCGUCUGCUGUGAAAAUCCGAGGCUCAACCUCGGACUUGCAGUGGGUACGGGCAGACUAGAGUGUGGUAGGGGAGACUGGAAUUCCUGGUGUAGCGGUGGAAUGCGCAGAUAUCAGGGAGGAACACCAAUGGCGAAGGCAGCUCUCUGGGACGGUCAC
rnacentral:rRNA from 1 species